GAUGAACGCUGGCGGCGUGCUUAAUACAUGCAAGUCGAGCGAACAGACGAGGAGCUUGCUCCUCUGACGUUAGCGGCGGACGGGUGAGUAACACGUGGAUAACCUACCUAUAAGACUGGGAUAACUUCGGGAAACCGGAGCUAAUACCGUAUAACAUGUUGAACCGCAUGGUUCAACAGUGAAAGACGGUCUUGCUGUCACUUAUAGAUGGAUCCGCGCCGCAUUAGCUAGUUGGUAAGGUAACGGCUUACCAAGGCAACGAUGCGUAGCCGACCUGAGAGGGUGAUCGGCCACACUGGAACUGAGACACGGUCCAGACUCCUACGGGAGGCAGCAGUAGGGAAUCUUCCGCAAUGGGCGAAAGCCUGACGGAGCAACGCCGCGUGAGUGAAGAAGGUCUUCGGAUCGUAAAACUCUGUUAUUAGGGAAGAACAAAUGUGUAAGUAACUAUGCACGUCUUGACGGUACCUAAUCAGAAAGCCACGGCUAACUACGUG
rnacentral:rRNA from 1 species